rnacentral:lncRNA from 1 species
CCACUUUCAGCCAUUGUGCUGAAACCCUGCCUUUGGAUAUGGUAGAUCCUGAAAAUCUGGGCAGGAAUGAGGUUCCUCCACGCAUAGCACCUCCCUUUCAUUCAGCCGGAUCUCCCAUUAGAAGCACAGGGCCCAGCAUGGAACUGGUUUACAGAGAAGCAUUUGCCUUGUUGCUGUUUGGAACGCUCCUGUAGUCUUCUGGAAAAUCAUGACCUUCAUUGUGUUCUUGAACCACUGAUCUUGAGAAGAGCUGGAGAAGAUGCAUAUUGAAGUAACUGUAGAGAAAUGAUGUCUGGAAUUUUCUUUGAAAUAAUUCAAGGGAAUGAAAGGGAUGUAGAAAAGUCAAAAGUGGCCACAGGCUCACCAGAUAGAGGACCCAGUGGAAGACUCCAUAACUACAGACAAUGGGGAGCCACUAGAUGGAAGGAACCUGGGUCCUUGAAUAAACUAUAUGGAGCAGAGAAACCAUCCUACCCCACAGCUGCACUGGACAG